GGCCCCUAUCAGGGUCACACCUGGAGAGUUUCCAGUACUCUACCAGUUUCAAAUACAGGGGGGAGAGUCAGGCAGAGGCAUAUCCAUUCCAUUCCUAGCUUGGGCAGUGGCUAGUGAGUGGAAGACAAUCUGCUACAAGU
rnacentral:snoRNA from 2 species